CUAUAGGAACAAUUAAAAAUCUUGCCUUUUUCUCUCUCUCUCUCUCUCUCUCUCUCUCUCUCUCUCUGAGUCUUCACACUGUAACUUCAUCUUCAUCUCCAAACUUUCAAUCGCGUAAUGAUGAUCAAGCAAGUUAAGUAGCCUAGCUUACUAAUACUACUCCACCGGAUCUCACGACCGUUUUUUCAACUCUCACCGGAGAGAUCUCGUCCUCCGUCUCAUUAACGAUGAUCACAGACGCCGUGAAUCCUCUCUCCGCAUCCGACCACAAAAGGGAUGCUUAUGGAUUUUCUGUGAGGCCUCAGCAUGUGCAAAGAUACCGAGAACAUGUCAAAAUCUACCAGGAGGAAGAAGAGGAGAGGUCGGACAGGUGGAACAGUUUCCUCGAAGAUCAUGGAUCAUCUGAAGAAAAAUAUCUGUCACCAGGUCCUGAUUUAACUCCCGGAGAUGAGAAGAAAGUGCUGAGAUCUCAGAUAUGGACUGAGGUCAGGCCAUCUCUUCGAGCAAUUGAGGGCUUGAUGAGUGCUCGUGUAAAAAAGAAAGACCAUUCUUCAAAUGGCGAGCGAGGAGCUCAAAGAUCGAAUCCAGUUCAGGAUGAUUCUUCAGAUAGCACAUGUGUCUCCUCCAGCAUGCCUGCUGCUGAUGCAAAGUCCCAAGUAUCUGCAUUCCCUUGGAAAGAAGAACUCCAAGUACUUGUUCGCGGUGGUGCUCCUAUGGCUCUGAGGGGUGAGCUCUGGCAAGCAUUUGCGGGAGUUAAGAAACGCCGGGUCGAGAACUAUUACCAAAGUCUGCUAGCUGCUGAUGGUCUAGGAAAGGACAUAGAGCUGCAGGAUGAGAAAAGUUCAAGUGCAGACCCACUCGCUGCUGUGGAGAAAUGGAAAGGACAGAUAGAGAAGGAUUUACCUCGGACAUUUCCAGGGCAUCCUGCCCUAGAUGAUGAUGGGAGAAAUGCUCUGAGGAGAUUGCUAACUGCUUAUGCUAGGCAUAAUCCCUCUGUUGGAUACUGUCAGGCUAUGAAUUUCUUUGCUGGACUUUUAUUACUUCUGAUGCCCGAAGAGAAUGCUUUUUGGUCGCUGAUAGGAAUCAUUGAUGACUACUUCAAUCAUUAUUACUCUGAAGAGAUGAUCGAGUCACAGGUUGACCAACGAGUUCUGGAGGAGUUGGUUCGAGAGAGAUUUCCUAAAAUGGUUCAACAUCUAGAUUAUCUUGGAGUGCAGGUGGCUUGUGUUACAGCGCCAUGGUUUCUUUCCAUCUUCAUCAAUAUGCUUCCAUGGGAAAGUGUUCUCAGAGUGUGGGAUGUGCUUCUGUUUGAAGGAAACCGUGUAAUGCUUUUCAGAACAGCACUUGCAUUGAUGGAGUUUUAUGUAAACACAGGUCCUACACUAAUUACAACCAAGGACGCUGGAGAUGCGAUUACUCUGCUUCAAUCAAUGACUGGCUCAACGUUUGAUAGCAGUCAGCUCGUCUUCACUGCUUGCAUGGGUUACCAAGAUGUAAACGAAUGUAGGUUGCAGGAGUUAAGAAGCAAGCACAGGCCAGCUGUGAUGGCUGCAUUUGAGGAAAGAUUAAAGGGGCUUCAAGCUUGGAGGGAUUCGAAAGACCUCCUCGCAAGCAAAUUAUAUAAUUCUAAGCAAGAUCCAAAAUCAGUUUUGUUAAAUUUCAGCAAAGCCUCGCUGUCUCGUUCUGAAUCAGGAUCCAGCAGUAACGCAGACGAUGUCUUGAUUUGUCUGACUGGGGAUGGAGAGAUUGAUUAUUUUCAAGACCUUCAAGGACAGGUUCUUCGGUUGAAGGGUGAACUCUGCAAUUUGGUUGAGGAGAAACGAUCUGCUUUACUAAGAGCUGAAGAGUUGGAGGUUGCUCUCAUGGAGAUGGUCAAACAAGACAAUCGGCGUCACCUGAAUGCUAAGAUUGAGCAGUUAGAGCAAGGGGUGAGAGAGCUUCGAAAGCUUGUUUCUGAUAAGAAGGAUCAAGAAGCUGCUAUGAUACAGGUGUUGAUGGGGAUGGAGCAAGAACAUAAGGUAACGGAAGGUGCACGGAGAGCUGCUGAGCAGGAUGCAGCAGCGCAGAGACAUGCUGCCCAAGUGCUUCAGGACAAAUAUGAGGAAGCUGUUGCUGGGCUUGCUGAGAUGGAGGAGAGGGCAGUAAUGGCAGAGUCAAUGUUGGAGGCGACUUUGCAGUAUCAUAAAGCACAACCUUCACCACGCUUCAUCUUCACUCUGAGUAUCAUGAGAACUUCCGCUGGCUACACAGUAACCUGGCCGUUUAGGUUGAGGUAUAAAUACUGCUUCACUUCCGAGCAUCAAAACUACUGACGACAUCAUUGGUCUAUCCUCUACAUGUUCUUGAACACACAAGAGGCCAAUUUGUAAGCAUCUUAAGAUUUCACGUGGCCUGAACGUUGGUGAUGAAGAAUCUACGGCCGUGUCUAGUAUCCCCAGACGUUGAUUUUCAUUCCAUUGCCUCCACACCUGGUUCGUUCGGAUCUUAAUUUUCUUAUUAAUAUGGGGUCAGAAAAUCGAAUAAGACGAGUGGUGUUUCAAAAGCUUACGUACAUAUCCCAGAAGAUUAAGAUUACCAUCCGAGUGGCAGAAGCCUUUAUUCCUCUUGCCACUUAUAAUUUCAAGAAGCAAGACCCCAAAACUGAACACAUCUGACUUCAUCGAGAAUGUCCCGUUCAUCGCAUAUUCUGGAGACAUGUAGCCACUGCAUAACAAUUAUAUAUAAAAAGCUAUCAGCUUCCGUCUCAUCCCGUCCAAAGAUCCUAGCCAUUCCGAAGUCUGAAAUUUUUGGAACCAUAUCUUUGUCAAGCAAGACAUUGCUUGCUUUCAAAUCCCUAUGGAUGAUUCUAAACCGUGAGUCUUGGUGAAGAUACAGAAGCCCUCGGGCAAUACCAUUGAUGAUAUCAAAUCUCAUUUGCCAAUUUAA